rnacentral:rRNA from 1 species
UAGGGAAUCUUCGGCAAUGGGGGGAACCCUGACCGAGCAACGCCGCGUGAGUGAAGAAGGUUUUCGGAUCGUAAAGCUCUGUUGUUAAGGAAGAACGAGUGUGAGACUGGAAAGUUCAUACUGUGACGGUACUUAACCAGAAAGGGACGGCUAACUACGUGCCAGCAGCCGCGGUAAUACGUAGGUCCCGAGCGUUGUCCGGAUUUAUUGGGCGUAAAGCGAGCGCAGGCGGUUAGAUAAGUCUGAAGUUAAAGGCAGUGGCUCAACCAUUGUAGGCUUUGGAAACUGUUUAACUUGAGUGCAGAAGGGGAGAGUGGAAUUCCAGGUGUAGCGGUGAAAUGCGUAGAUAUAUGGAGGAACACCGGUGGCGAAGGCGGCUCUCUGGUCUGUAACUGACGCUGAGGCUCGAAAGCGUGGGGAGCGAACAGG